GGGUCAGUAGGUUGGUCGUGCCACCGGUACGUACUGGUCUCACUGAUUCCUCCUCCCUGAAGAGCCGUAAUGCCAUUAAUUUGGUGUUGCGGGGAAACAGGACUGUUACUUUGAAAAAAUUAGAGUGUUUAAAGCAAGCUAACGCUUGAAUACAUUAGCAUGGAAUAAUGAAAUAGGACGAUCGAUCCUAUUUUGUUGGUUUCUAGGAUUGACGUA
rnacentral:rRNA from 1 species